rnacentral:lncRNA from 1 species
AACCAUAAAUACAAAUUGCAUGGAGAAUACUCAGAUGGGGUGGAAAAGAACAAUAUAAAAAGAAACAUCAGCAAAAAACAUGAACGUGACCCAAAAAGAAGUUCAUUACACCCAAUCAAGCAAGUUAACUAAUGAUUAGUUUUAAGAGAGCAUACAAAAGUUGAACAAGGAGCUGUAGAGUUUCCAGGAUGGAGAGAAAGGGGGAGAGGUUGUGGGUGAGAGUUUUGGCCAUUCUCAUCACUGCCCACCAGAUGAUGAACUUCAACCAGAUCAAAGAUUCCUUUUGGAUUAGACAUGAUGAAUAGAGUAAAAGAGGUUGAGUUUUAAACUGAAUAGAAGGUGGAGGAGAGUAAACAGUCAAAAUGAAGAUAUUUGUGAUUAAUGUGCAAUAGUAAAUCUCCAGUUAUCCUGUUGGUAGUUCUCUGUAGUAAAGGUAAAGGUUCAUUGUGGUCGGACUUGUUUACCAAUCUCUGCAUCAUCAAAUUUAUAGAUCAAGCACUUCUCUUCCAAACUCCAAAUAAAGGUGGGAAGAUCUGGAAGGUUAAGUAUCUUUGUAACAGAUAUUGUAUCACCAUAUUGGUCAUAGAAUUUGAAGAAGAAGAAAGUAGUGGUGAGACUUGUGAGUGGUGCAAGGUGUAGAGAGAGAGAGUGCAGAUGAUCAGGAAGGAAAAGUUCCAAGUCUUGCAGUGUUGCUAAACUAUUUAGUUUCUCAUAGAA